AGGCGAUGAUGACAAUAAUUACAUUUCUCGAUACUGAUUUCCUCAGUGUAUGCAAACUAUGUUUGUUUAUAUGGAUUUGGUUUUUGAUGACUGUAUUUAUGCGUGUCUGAGCCUU
rnacentral:snoRNA from 1 species